rnacentral:antisense_RNA from 1 species
GACCGACAUCAGCGACUCGUUCUGCGACCCAUUGCCGACGGCGACGGUAGGCGUUCAUCCCCAGCUCGCGCAUCUGCUGUUCGCCGAUCACCCGGGUGAUGACGUUUUUGCUGUAGGUAUCGGCCAGCUGACGCGCCUGGGAAGCCAGAUAGGCGGCGUUACAGAUGUUCGGCGGCAUAUUGCCAAGAUCUUUCGC